rnacentral:rRNA from 1 species
AGCGAACGCUGGCGGCGUACUUAACACAUGCAAGUCGAACGAGGAUCGCCUGUGUAGCAAUACAUAGGCGGUUCUAGUGGCGUACGGGUGAGUAACACGUGGGCAACCUGCCCUUGAGUCCGGGAUACCCUCUCGAAAGGGAGGCUAAUACUGGAUACGUUCCUCGGGUCGCGAGAUCUGGGGAGGAAAGGUAGGCGAAAGACUGCCGCUCUUGGAGGGGCUUGCGGCCUANCAGCUAGUUGGUGAGGUAAUGGCUCACCAAGGCUAUGACGGGUAGCUGGUCU